rnacentral:rRNA from 1 species
CCUACGGGGGGCAGCAGUGGGGAAUAUUGCGCAAUGGGCGAAAGCCUGACGCAGCGACGCCGCGUGAGGGAUGAAGGUCUUCGGAUCGUAAACCUCUGUCAGCAGGGAAGAACGGUCACUGUGCUAAUCAGCAGUGAAUUGACGGUACCUGCAAAGGAAGCACCGGCUAACUCCGUGCCAGCAGCCGCGGUAAUACGGAGGGUGCGAGCGUUAAUCGGAAUUACUGGGCGUAAAGCGCUCGUAGGCGGUAUGUCAAGUCAAGGGUGAAAUCCCCGCGCUCAACGUGGGAACUGCCUUUGAAACUGGCAAACUGGAGUGUGUGAGAGGAGAGUGGAAUUCCAGGUGUAGGAGUGAAAUCCGUAGAUAUCUGGAGGAACAUCAGUGGCGAAGGUGACUAUCUGGAACAUAACUGACGCUGAGGAGCGAAAGCGUGGGUAGCAAACAGGAUUAGAUACCCCUGUAGUC